rnacentral:lncRNA from 1 species
UUUCAAAAAAAAAAUAUAUAUAAACUCGCAUUCUUAUUUUUUAGUGACUCUUAUUCUAAAUCUCCUUGCAGGUCGCCACUGCUCAACCUGGCCUAUUUUCCAACAUUAACUAUUCUAAAUCCGUGUAUGGGCUGUUGGAGCUAUAGCAUAUGAAUUGUUUAAUGGAGUCAAUCCAUUUUACCAGACAAACAAAGAAACCCCAGCCCUUCGCAACACAACAUACACUGAAAAGAUUUGCCGGCGCUUAAUGAAAAUGUCCCAGCAACCAUUGCUAAACUUAUUGCUGCAUUAUUGAUCAGAAAUCCAAAUAAGAGACCAUCUGCUGAACUAGCAGCCACUGUAUGUCAACUUUACCUUUGGGCACCAAGUGCUUGGCUCAACAUGCCUGAAAAUUCCUUGCCAUCCAAUAGUGAGUUGUUGCAAUGGUUAUUGUGUCUUGCAACAAAGGUUCUCUAUCAAGGCCAUUCCUCGACUGUCUACAGUCAGCCUGCCUCCGGAAAGCAGCGUACUGCUACAGAAUAUCAGCUUAUUGCCUCUUUCUUGCACCGCAUCAAAUUGAAAACUCUACGCCAAGCUCUCACAUGGAUCCAAUCUGUAUGAACUCAAAAUAAUCACUAGUAAUGUUCUGGUUGUUCUUUCACCGUCUGAUCAUUGUUCAAAUCUGUAUCGUAUCUUUGCAUAUUUUGCUAAGAUUUUUAUGUAGGGCAUGAACUAAAUAUUCUGCUUUAUUUCUUUUAUUUACAUCUUCAAACUUUGUCGAAAUCAAACUGGAAGGAUUUCUUAUCCACUUUAUUUCUUUUUUUCUUAUCUUUUUGGUAAUCAAAUCCCAUUUUUAUUUUCUUUAAAACCCUCAAGGCUUUUACAGGCUCUUUUUUCCUAUAUUUUUCCUUUAUAUUUUUGUUGUUUCAAGUAUUCUUAAAUAUACUGCAGCACCCCUGACAAAACUUAUCGUCAUCAUUUUUAUCAAAAUACUUUAUUUAUCACUUAACAUAUGUAUGCUUUCUCACGUUUUAACAGAAUACAUCGGCAGGCCGGAUUAACCGUAGGGGCAAGUGGGCCUGUGCCCACAGCGGCAAAUUUUCAGGGGCGGCAGAAAUCGAGAAACCAAAAAAAAAACAAAAAAAAACCAAAACAAAAAAUGCCGCCCCUGAAAAUUUGACCGGAAAAAUAACUUAAAUUAGAGAGAAGAGGCCGUCCAUAACAUUACAUCACUCCCCUGGGGUGGAGGGGGGGGGGAUCAAGAAAUCGGACAAAUAGGUGACGUAAUUUAUGGACGGCUCCAAAGGAAAAGGCAGUCUCGUCAGCAGAAGAAGGGCUGUGUCGUACAGCGGCAUAUUUUCGCGACCGCAAGCAGGUACUGUUGUAUCUUCGCACCACCUCAAGGGUGCGUCAUAUUUGGGGUAAGUCUGAAAAGUCAUGACAACACAUCUUUAAUCGGUUCCAUUUCAUGAAAAAACAUACCAAAUUAAAAAUUUCAGCUCAAAAUUCGAAAAUUUAGAGGUCGCUCAAAGGCCUCAAAGUUUACGAUUUCGGCGAAAUUUCUUAAAAUUUCUUCGAUAUUGACGAAUCUUCAGGACAAUAAAGAAGAGAAAAUGUUCUAAUUUUUUUCAUCCUUCAUGGUAUAUUUAACUGCAAUAUUACAAAUUUCCACACUCUAUGAUCCCACGGGUCACAAAAAUGACCUGGGUAGGAACCCGCAAAAGCCGUCUGUCGCGCGAUCUUAGCCGGAGUUUGGAGUCCCGGCGCGGCGCGUUAGGGUGCUCCAAGUUAACAUGGGAUUUUUUUUUUUGGCUCAAUGAACCGCGACACCCCCUAAAUUUGUUCCUUGCCAUCCAAAUAUGAUACCUGCCAAAUAUUUUCGUUCUCCGACAGUAUUAACACGUGCCGACUUGAGGCUGAAAAUCUCCAACAAAAUUACAUUGAUUAAAAUGGAGCGAAAAUGGACCGAUCCGCGGUAUUUCGUUUUUCGGCCGUAAAAUGUGCCAACAUAAAAAUAACUUGAUCUUUACUCACGAAGAUACCUAGAGACCUAUUGUGAAUGAGAAAAUCGCACAUUCGACCCAUGAGGAGGGGGGGGAGGGGUAUUAGUACAGUAUAUUUUCCUCAUAGUUGGCAGUAUGUAAUUAUACACUGAAAAAAAAUUGUGGUGAAAUUAAGUAAAUAGGUAAUAGUUAAUGUUUAGCCAACUAUUUGAGAAGCCAAAUUAAUUCCGUGCGCCGGUUAAUUUAUUCAUCUAAUUGUUGAUUUUACUAAUACAUCCGUCAAUUAUAACUAUUCAAAAUAGUUGUCCAGGCUUUAACUAUCGUUCAGUUAAGGUGAUCCCACCCGCGUUCGAUAUCGAUACAUCGACGGAUAAACGUCUUCUGUGACUUUUUUCGUGAUAUUCGAUUCGGAUCACAUCCGAACUUUUCUCGAGAGUCGAACGUGUUCGAAAUUCGGUACUUUUUUCCGUGAACGUCUACACUUUUGUUUUUGUGUUUAAAACUUUGCAAUUAGAUUUUACAUGUUUAAAAUCAAAGUCCGGAUGUGAUCCGAAUCGAAUAUCACGAAAAAAGUCAAAAGCAAAGUCACAAAAGACGUUUAUCCGUCGAUGCAUAGAUAUCGAUAUCGAACGCGGGUGGGAUCACCUUAAUUUUACCUCACUUUUUUUCAGUGUAGCCUCGCCAAUGGCUGCUCGUGUUGAGUUGUGAGACCCCCGUGUGGGAACCCGGUCAGGCAAUCUAAUUAUACUUUUUCAAUUACUUGUUUUUCAUAUUUUCAAUACAAUACUAGUGGCAGUAGAGUGGUGCCUGACAUCCCUUUACACAAAUGAGUUUAUUAUUUAAAAUAAUGUAAAAUUAAGUUCUUGAUUAAACAAUAAACCCAUAGUAAAACUUGAAUUAAAAGCUAAAAAAAUUACAGCCUCAUUUUUGGACAUUUUUAAGUAAGAAAUGGGCUAAAAUUGCAUCUUACAGUGGUCAGAUUUUCCAAAUUUUUCGGGGCAGGGGCACUGCCCCCCCCCUCUCGGCCACCCCUCCGGGGCGGCAAAUUUCCGCGUGCCACAGCGGCAAAAUCGUUAAUCCAGCCCUGUAAUCGUAUUUCCUGAUUUUCUUGUGAUCUAGGAGGAGUAUUUUUCAUCUCAUGUUACAGUGGAAAAAAAAGAUGGAACAAUUAUAAAGCAAGAGCCCUUUUUCUGAAUUUUUAGCAAAUUUAAAAAAAAAAUUCUGAAGCCUUACCUCAAAAAGAUGAACAAUAUUAAUAAAGCACCUGCCUCCUCCAAUGAUAAAUCUCUUACAUAUUUAUACGGAGAAUUUUACAUGAAGAAACCUACAAAAUAUUGUGAAAUUUUUUGCAUUCAUUUCCUUUGUGUUUCAAAUCUUGUUUUUUAUAUUAGUUUUAUCCUGUCAGAAUUUUAAAACACCAUUUUUUAGAUUAAAUUUAUGAUAAUACUUCUAAUCCUCCUAACAUCUAGCCUUUUUUUAAACAUCAUAAUAUAAAAAUUCGCCAUUAAAUUUUUUUUACCCUCAUUUUCUGGCUUUGUUAGUAGAUUAUUAUCACAUGCAGGAAAGACACAGCUAAAGGAAGUUCUUCUUCAGAUCAUACUCGAGAAUACCAAAAUCAUAGUAAAUGUACUUAAUGUUAUUGAUAUUCAUUCAACUAAUUGCUUGUACCUAUGUAUUAUUUAUUAUCUGGUCAAAGUUUUGUAAUGAAUGUUCCUAUAAGGAGAAACGUGGUUUUCUUGUUUUGUGUUAAUUAAAUUAACAUAUUUAAGAAAGUAUGAAAAUAAAACAUUUUGAGAAGUUAAUUAAAUUCUUGCAUUUUCGUAUUUAAGUAUCUCUGGAAUAUAUUUUCCUCUUUUUUUUUUUCAUUUCUGAGAAAGAAGUUCGAAAAGUGUUUUUUGAGCUUCUCUACUGGUGCUUUGGUACCUAGUUUAACUUUGAUCAUUGACUUUGACUGUGGUUUCUACCUUCCUUCAGAAUUUUUGUAAAACAGUCUCAUCUUGAGCACAUUCGUACCUAUCACGUGAGUUCUCACAGAAAUUUCCACUUCUCUUUGGUCCAGAAACUUUCAUUUCUCUAAAAAAAAAAAGGACUGAACCCCAUUGUCUAAAGUAACUUCAAAGCUUCAUCAAAAAUUUCCCCUUUAUUUUGCAC